GUCUUGACACAAUAGCUCAGUCAGUAGAGCACGAGACUCUUAAUCUCAGCAAUGUGGGUUUGAGCCUUAUGUUGGGCA